CUCAUUAAAAGAGUGCGUAAUAGCUCACUGGUCGAGUGACCCUGCGCCGAAAAUUCAACGGGGCUAAACAAUGUACCGAAGCUUGGGAUUCUAAAGUAAUUUAGAGUGGUAGGAGAGCGUCGAAUAAGGGGUGAAGUCAGAGCGGAAGCGCUGGUGGACUUUAUUCGAGUGAGAAUGCCGGAAUGAGUAGCGAGAAUUAUGUGAGAAUCAUAAUGGCCGAAAAUCUAAGGUUUCCUGAGGAAGGUUCGUCCGCUCAGGGUAAGCCGGGGGCUAAGGCGAGGCGGAGACGCGUAGCCGAUGCACAUACGGUUGAAAUUCCGUAGCCACCGAAAGAUUUAAGUACAGGGACGCUUUAGAAGUGAUGUAGCCGGGCGAUGGUUGACCCGGUCGUAAGGGAUCGAAAAUGAGUAGAGAAGUCAUCAUGGAAAGAGACAAGAAAAGCUGUAUGUAUAUCUUAGGUGCCCGUACCGCAAACCGACACAGGUAGAUAGGAAGAAGAUUCUAAGGCCAACGGGAGAAGGGUUGUUAAGGAACUCGGCAAGUUGACCCCGUAACUUAGGGAUAAGGGGUGCUCAAGUGAUUGAGCCGCAGAGAAUAGGCCCAGGCGACUGUUUAGCAAAAACACAGGUCUCUGCUAAAUCGAAAGAUGACGUAUAGGGGCUGACACCUGCCCGGUGCCGGAAGGUUAAGAGGAGAUGUGAGAGCAUUGAAUUGAAGCCCCGGUAAACGGCGGCCGUAACUAUAACGGUCCUAAGGUAGCGAAAUUCCUUGUCAGGUAAGUUCUGACCCGCACGAAAGGCGUAAUGAUUUGGGCACUGUCUCAACAGCCCGCCCGGCGAAAUUGUAGUACCGGUGAAGAUGCCGGUUACCCGCGACUAGACGGAAAGACCCCAUGGAGCUUUACUGUAGCCUAAUAUUGGAUUUCGGUAUUUCACGUACAGGAUAGGUGGGAGACUGGGAAGCACAGGCGUCAGCUUGUGUGGAGUCGACCUUGGGAUACCACUCUUGGAGUGCUGGAAUUCUAACCUGCGGCUUUGAAGCAAGUCGGGGGACAUUGUUAGGUGGGCAGUUUGACUGGGGCGGUCGCCUCCUAAAGAGUAACGGAGGCGCUCAAAGGUUCGCUCUGCAUGGAUGGAAACCAUGCGUCAGAGUGUAAACGCAAAAGCGAGCCUAACUGCGAGAAUGACGGUUCGAGCAGUAACGAAAGUUGGAGUUAGUGAUCCGGCGGUAUGUGAAUGGAAAUGCCGUCGCUCAACGGAUAAAAGCUACCCUGGGGAUAACAGGCUGAUCUCCCCCAAGAGUCCACAUCGACGGGGAGGUUUGGCACCUCGAUGUCGGCUCAUCGCAUCCUGGGGCUGAAUUCGGUCCCAAGGGUUUGGCUGUUCGCCAAUUAAAGCGGUACGCGAGCUGGGUUCAGAACGUCGUGAGACAGUUCGGUCCCUAUCUGUCGUGGGCGUAGGAUAUUUGCAAGGAGCUGUCCCUAGUACGAGAGGACCGGGAUGGACGCACCUCUGGUGCACCAGUUGUCACGCCAGUGGCACAGCUGGGCAGCUAUGUGCGGAACGGAUAAACGCUGAAGGCAUCUAAGCGUGAAGCCGCCCUUAAGAUAAGAUAUCCCUUCUGUUUACAGAGUAAGACCCCUUGAAGACUACAAGGUUGAUAGGCUCAAAGUGUAAGCACGGUGACGUGUUUAGCUAGCGAGUACUAAUCGGUCGAGGGCUUAACCUU
rnacentral:rRNA from 1 species